rnacentral:lncRNA from 1 species
GUUUUAUACUUUAAACGCGAAGAGAAAGUAAAACGGGAUUAUGUUGCUGUUGAUAAAAGCUAUUGUUUCUGCUUUAAACGGGCGCUGAUACUUUUGUCCGAUUAAAGCAAUUUCAUGUUAUUAAAAUCAUUAACGGGUUUGUGAAAAGAAAUCGCAAUGUUUUCUAAGGUUUCUUGGAAGAGAAUGUUUAACAGGAAAAGAGUCAACUAGUUUCACUUCGGAAAAAUAUCCUUCCGCCUUCAUUGACAGUCAGGUAUAUACUAAUUAGACUCCUAGAAUGGAAUAAUAAUGUUUAUUUUUCGUUGUAAUGUUACGCUUAAUUACAUUUUCCGUGACGGCGCAGGAACUUACCUGUGAAUGUUCAAGGCUUUUAUGAAAACGCUUUUCCUUAAACGUUCACAAAGACAGUUUUUUUUUCUAUCGAUAUGCACCAAAUAAUAUAUUUUUUUACAAUAGAUAAUAUCAAUAUUUAUCGAGAUAUAUCAUGUUAUUAAUGAUAAUGAUUAAAACAACAAUGUUCUGUCUCCUAAUAUGAGUCAAGAAUAAUAGUUAAAGAGUUUAGCAUAAAUGCUGAUAACCUAAGGGCUUCUCUGCAUAUCUUGUUAUGCAUAUGUUUUGUUAACCGUCACGAAGAUGUACUUGAUUGUAGUCGCGCUUGGUUUCCUGCAGCACACGACACCAUACACUUAUGACUACAAGGUAGAUCCUUAGUCGCCCUCGCGAUACAAAUUGUCUCCUUCUCGAGGCAAGAUAACGGUACUCUUCUCUAGCGUGAUUUCACAAGAGAGGUGAACUUCAUGCGGAAAACUCGACGCUCGACUGCGGCGAGGGAAUGUUCAAAUUGCAGAUAUUCUACUGUAAAUAAAAGCGACAAAUGAUUUUAACGAGCAAUAUUAUUUCAACAAAAUUACCUCAAGUAUGUUUGCACCUUGCAGUAAUGCAUGUGUAUGGCACACUUCAAUUCAAAUAACAUUAAGUUCAAGACAAAUCAAGUUUGUAAGUCAAUUGUUAGAAGCUGAAAGGUCUUCUUUGAUGUUUCCUCAAAGAAAUGGUUAUAAAUAGAAAUAGAUUUUUUCUAUAAAUAAACUAUUUCAAAAAUGUUUCUGACAGUAAGUCACGAUAUCUUUGUUACAAUAUUGUGGGGAUGUUAAUUCUCUAGCUUUAUUUCCCCCAAUUUUAUAACUUCUAAUUUUUCUCAUUAAUAGGUACAUUGAUGAAUUGAAUUAAAUCUCUCUCUCUCUCUUUCUCUCUCUCUUGAUUGAAAACUAUAAUAAGAUGCUCCAAGAUCUAAGUCAACUAUCGUAGAGUCCAUUAUACUCUAUACUCCUCAUUCAGGGUUAAGUAAAUGAAGGACCGUACUCCUAUAUAAUUUGAAGGGGCAGGAUAAAAAGAAAGAGCAGGGUUGAUCAAUGGGGGGAAGGGAGUGACCGAAGAGAAGAAAGAAGUCUCGAAGGUCAGGAUAGUCCUGGGGGCUCGCACAAGGAUAUAAAGGUGCAAAUUUCCGCGAAGUUUCGCAGAGCAAAAUACCACCGCUGCUCGCUUGAGGUAGUCUCGCUUGGCAGAGCGCAAAACAACCACGACGUUCGUCUAACCAUCUUGCUCGGCUAACGGAAAACGGUACCACAACGCGCCAGCGCUAGAAUUAUUGCUACUGUCGUCGUCGUUGUCGUGGUUAAAGAAAAGAAGAACGGCUGGAGUGUUCCUCGGUGUCGUCGAUAAACCUCGCGGAUAAUGAUCGAUUGUCUUGCGACAAGAACGUGAAUGCAUUUGCUUUGCUGCGCUUCAUCGUGUAUUCAGAGCCAAGUGAAAUCAGUAUUACGUGAAACUCUUUACAUUGUUAGAAUCGUACUUGGAUGGAUGUAAAAUUUCUACAAUUGUUGUGUGACAAGAGUGACAAUUUCGGGAAUAGAUUUGAUGACUGGCAUUUGCGCCAAUUUUGAUUUCACGCAACCAAAGGAAAUUUUAGUUAAGUAACAAGUAUCUGUUAUGUCACGUGUUGUAUACUAUGUAACUUAUGUAAUCAACGAAAAAAAAUAUGUUAUAUAAUUUUUACUAUUAUCUAUUUUAAGUUUUCCUCUUUUCUGAAAGAAAAAUGGCGAUAUAUAUGUUCUGGAGCAACUUGCUUAUUUACUUUGCAUAUUUGUAAAUUAUAAUGGCAUAGCAAACAUUUCUACAAUUCCAGCAUUUUUAACACGCAUGAGUUAAUUAUAGAUUGACAUCAAUACAAUAUCCCAUAUAAUUGUGAUUACGUCAAAAUCAUCGGUCCACCUUCCGCGCAAAUUCCUUUCAUUUUUGUUGCACUUGUGGAUCAGAACGAUACUAAGUGUGCUUUCGUUUGCGGUCCACCUGUUGCUUAAGGACCGAGAAUCUCCCAAGCAUUAAAGUCGAUUAACUCGAGCGGUCAUUAAAAGAGAAACAUGAACAACCGAGGACUUGUCGCUGUCCGCCACGCGAUUCCGCUUCGCGAUUUCACUCCGCGGCACGGCUCGUCGCGGCACCGUCGUCGCGAUGUGGCAGCGGGAAAAUCGACCGUGUCUCGCAUGAUCGUUCACAGGUGAGCAUAAGUGACCAGUUACUAGCGGUCACGAGCCGAAUGAUUAAUGCACAGUGAACAAAGGAACGGCACGGAGAAAGGUAUCGUUGUUGUAUUUGUUGCGUUCGUUGUUAACUGACGGCGAGGUGCUCGGCCGCCCACCCUCCCGUCACCCCCCAGUCACCCGUUUGUUAUCGCGGGAUCAUGAGAUUAUCGCGUGAAAAUAAUCCGCUAUUCGUGGGUGGUCAUCGAAGAUGAGGAAUCGAUACCUUGCUGGACGGGUGUUACCCUGUAUCGAAUACAAGUGGAGGAGCACAAAGAGUGCUCCAAUGCUGUAAACACUUUCUUGUGUUAUUAUCUCGUCGUGAUAUUAUAUUGAUAAAAUUAAAACGCAGUAGAUCAUUUAUUGAUGGAAGUUGCAUUAGGCUAAGUUUUGAUCAACUUACAUUACUUGUAUACUGCUUAUACUGCUUAUCAAGAAAAAGUAAAUUAAUCUUUUUUCAUGCAAUGGGUUUGUCAUGAAGUUUAUCAUAAGAUUUUUAUUUUGACUAAUUUUAUAUCAGUGCAAUCGUCGUUUGUUUUGUUUAUUAUAUGUAAUAUUAUUGAAUUAUUUGAAUGGUCUUUUUCUUCAUUCUGCAGUUCUUUCCUUUUAUGUCUAGCAAUAAGACAAGUGACUGGCUGUUCCUGAUGCACGUUUUUCUGGCUUUCUACGCGCCUUUUGAUUGAUCUGUGAGAAAUCAGCAGAUGCUACGAUAAUCGACACAAUAUGGUACGAAGAAUCACGACCUAGGCCAACCGAGGAUCUAUGGAAACAGAACCUGCGAAGGUUCUGAUUUCGGGAUGGGUCGGUGAGAUUCAUCACCUGCUCAUCAUCGAGCGUGGGAUGAUGCUGGUGAUCCAGAGGAAGUGGGUGGAUAUCCUGACAAGCUGCUGGCUGCUGGAUUUUUCUCAGACUCGUCGUUGGGAGAGAGGGAUAUAAAUUUCCUUAAAACACCAGAAGGACGAACUUGGGCUGUCCAUGACGGCAGCUGCCUCUAGUGCCCACGAGACAUCACGGGACAAGCACCACGUGAAAGGAGAGACGAAGUCCUUAGAACAGGACGUGCGCCUCUCGUCUCGCUUCCGGGUUCGCCUGUAUAUUAGAUAUUCAUGCCCGUUUCCUAUGGCGCACCUGGCGCUUUUUCCUCUCGUCGACGCGAUGCGGCAUGGCGCGGAAAGCGGUGGACGGGAACUAGUUUUAAAGACAUCGCACUCGCGCCAGCGAGUAACGACCUACCGAGUGAGUGAGAAUUUUUUUCGCCAUUCGUGUUCACGGCCGAUUUGUAUAUAUCUCUACAUACACCAUAAGUCUGUGCGUUGUCAGCGAAAGUAGUGAGACAAGUUUAAUGGCGGGGGAAGGAUUGUGUACUCUGACAACGGUUCGUGGGAAAUCGCGUUCGCUCUGACACUCGAGCACUUUCGUUCACGACGGCUGAGAGAUUGCUGGGAAAAACUAGGAGCCUGAGAAAAUCAUCGAUCGAAUUUUUCAUUAAUCUUGCAGACAUUUAUUCGCAACCGCAACUAUAAAUGUACACAAGACAAAGAUCAAUGUCGUCUGGCUCAAGUAAUCUAUACAAUAACAAGUCCUGUUAUCAGUAUGAAACAUCAUUCUCGGUAAUAAAUACUUGAUAUUGAUUGAAUAUUUUUAUUUUUUUGUAAGAUAUAUAUUUAAAGAGUUAGCUCAUUUGGCGGCAUAGUCGAUGCUAUACAUGUAUUUGCUUUAUUUUUCGUUUUUGAAAGUCAGUGUCAUUUGCCUACAGAAUAACAAGACAAUACGAAACAUUGCCAAUUGUUGAGCGCGAAAUUGCGAUACGAGUCACGAGAAUCUGAAUCCAAAGGCCAUCGCGAACGUUGCUUAGUACACACGAAUGUGGAUUGAUAAGAAGAAGAAAAGCGCGGCGUCGUAUUUCGAUAUGCACCUUAUCGAUGCAACGUAGAAUCAUGUUAAGGCAGGUAAAUUAUAUCAAUGGCCAUCGAUCAGUAAAAGACAAUUAUGAAUGAAAAGAGUGCUCAGUGCUUUGUAACACUUGUAAUUUUAUUUUGUCAAAAAACUACAUCUAGUUUAUUCAUUUAAGAUUUAAGGUUUAUUAAUUAAAAAUAUUAGAUAAUCUCCGCAAUAAUGUAGAGCGCAAAAUUUUAUUAACUUUCUCACUGUAUCAAAACAUAUGAUGAUGAUUACUAUUAUUAUAUACAUAUAUUUCUUAUUACAUUUCUGAUAUCAUUCUAAUAUCAUUUAUGGUUGACAGCAUAAUCAAUAAAGUUUAAAGAAGCUAUAUAAUUCUAAAUCAUUCGUUCAAAGAAAUUCGUUUUCAUACAAUCCCAUGAAUCAUAAGAGGCUGCUUCCGUAAGGGAUGCUGUGUACUUUCCCUUAUGGAGCUAGGUUACCUAGGCAAACCUGUCCCAAUAUUUACGGAAUUGUGGCCUUUUAUACCUCUCGUCAUCUUUUCCCAAAGAGGACACCGCAAAGUGGCUAAGGACCUUUUGACUGUGUAUGCUCCUUUUGUGUGCUUCGUGCAUCACGAAGAUGGGCACUUAGCUCACAAGAAGCUGCAAUUUGUGAGACUUUCAUAACUGUGGGCGAAUAUUGCAUUUGAGCAUGUCGUAGAUAGCCGGAAGCAAAAUAUCACAACGCUUAGGCCUAAUAAUGAUGCUAUUAUAUUUUUCUUUGGAGUUUUCUCGUUGACUGUGCUCAACACCUCUUAUUUGAAAUAAGAUUACCACAAAAUAUGUAGCAUGCUUAGGAAAACAAGUAUAACUAAGCAUCACUUCUAAAAAGACAUACCAGUGAAAAUGAGGCAUAGAGAUCAAAUGUCAUCCAGAUGUUUAUAAAAAUUUUUACAAAGUUCUUUAAUUUCUUGCGAAAUGUAAUUUGCCUAAUUUUUAAUUGCUCUGCAACAAGAGGAACUCAUAAAAAUUGGAUAUGCAGAUAAUACUUAUUAUACGUAUUAUCGAAAAACACAUCUUUUUAAGUCUGCGCCACAUGAGCCGAGCCUUGAAUGCGCAGGAGCGUGCGAAUGCCAUACUGGCAAAGUGAGCAACAACAUGGGCUUUAGUUACGUGCCAACAGAAUACAUGAAUACGUUAUCGUGUACGUGCUGCUUUUUCAAUCUACCCUUCUUCUUUCUCGACACGAAUGAGCGACUCGUCACUUCGCGGAACCCUUCAAAUAUUAUCGACAAGAGACAAGCCAGGCAAUUGCGUAUAUUUCAGGGAACGAGCUUUCUCGUCCAGUAUCGAAAGGAAGCACGAGACAAACCGCAAAGCAUUAUCGAAAUCUAAGACGCAACUCGCGUAUUUUAUCAUGCAUUACACUUCGAGCCGCACCUGCAAAAAUAGAUACUAAUAUCAUUUGCGUGGUAUAUUGCACCUUUAUUGUAUUCUACCCUACGUUUUAUUGUGUUCGGACCGAGAAGAGAAUACUUAUUUCUUAUUUCUUUUUCAUUAUAUAUAUAU